CUGUUCUUGGAAAGCAGCACUUUCAUGCAGCUGGGCCUUGUUUGGGGAAUGAGAGAUGACAGUGUGAGAGAGGUAGGGGCUUGAAGUUGGACCCCACAGGGGAGACCUUGAAGGUUACAUGUCUCCUCCUCCGCAUCCCUCUGCUGUAAUUUCUCCGCUUUCAGCCUUUGCUUUGGUUUCUAACACCAAGCAUUCCUUCCCUUCAAGGAUUUGCCGGGCUGUGUGUGCUCUGUUUGGAGGAAGAGACUGGCGGUACAUUGGCCCUGAUCAACAAGGAACUUAAGUUUCCUUGAAGGAGAUCAGGUGACUGCUUGCCUGUGGUCAAGCCUUCCCCUGAUUAGCUUAGCUUGUGCUGGGAGAGCCCAGAAGUGGUGGCCUGUGGGGAAUGGGUAGGCCAGGCUUGGCCCUAGAAAAUAAACUGGGACGUGUGACUUUCCAACAGAGCUCGCAUGCUGGCUGGCUGACGG
rnacentral:lncRNA from 1 species